rnacentral:rRNA from 1 species
UACAUCAGGGGUGAGCAAAUUUUUUCGGUCUUGAUAUUUUUAUUUUUGUUAUGAUUAAAUUUAUUUUACUUUAGGUGAAAUUAUGGUUUUGUUUUAUAAUCAGUUUUUGUAAAUUAUGUGAUAAUAAUUGUUUAAGACUA